GCAGGUUGUGGUUUGCAAACUCUCAUUGGAUAUUCAGAAGAAUCUUCACCUUUUGAACAGGACUGGCCUGCAUCAUUAAUGAUGGAUUAUGCUGACACAUGAAACUUAAGAUGGCUUGAACUAAACCUCAUUUAUUAAAGAUAAGCAAAAUGACGGAGAGUGGCCACCACAAAUUGGCUCUUUCUUUCAGCUUUAAACUGGAUAAAUGAACUUGAAAUAACCUUUGAAGUGAUCCCCCUGGAAGGAACAGAGUGUUCCCUGUGAAAAGGCACUGAAGUCAGUCCAUGUGCUGCACACUUUUGGCUUCCCACUUCCCACAGGAGCACAUCAGAAGACAAGGAUAGCUGGGAGUGCAGUGAGUCCAGCAAUUAUUAGAACCACCUGAAAGCUUUUCUUAGAAUUGCUGCCAUGAUGAGACCAGGUGACAAAACAGGUCUCCCUCUAUCUCUGGCAGCAGCAGAGUUGACUUGAGAGGCCAGAACUGCACCUGGGCAGCAGAAAGGAGAAAUUAAAGGAGAAAACCAAACCCAGGAGCACAGACUAUCAUUUUUUGUAGCGGUUUCCAGAAUACAAAAGGAGGCAAAUUGCUGAAGGCUGUGCUGACAGAGUUGCAGAAGUUUGGGAAUUUUUCAUUAUCAAAGCUCAGGAUCAGCUUAAAAGCUUUUUUAGUCCAUUACUGCUGCUGCAUUCUUUCCCUCCACCUGUCUUGCACAUCUCAGAUGAAAAUGCCACAGGAAAGAAAUUCAAGUGUACAUUUCUAAUCCAUGUAACUGAAUAGCUGCAGUGGACUUCAAGGACUUCAGCUUCUAUCUUCUGAAUACCCAGAUGAUGGAGACACACACUACAUCAAGUCAGACUUUAUGACCUUUGUCUGUCUCAGAAAAACAAGAAAUCCUUUUAGAAUACCAAGUGGGCUUUGGCUGCAGUGAGGUUUGGCAAGUGUUCCUGACUGCCACAGCACAUUUGUAGCUAAACUGACAGUGCAGAUUCUCUAAACAUCCAGGCACAGCCAGGUUUAUCACAUUCUGCCUCUUGAUGUUUGUAAAUUAGUCUUGCUUCUCUCUAAUAAAAAUCCCUGUAGCAGAACCAAGUGUUCAGCAAUUCUAUGACAGGAGACACUAUUAUUUUGGAAGCACAGCUAUUUUUCUUCAAAUUAACUUGUUGACAAGAGGAAAACCAUGCUGGAGUCACUCAGAAUGUUUCCUGCUACACGCCAGAAAAGCCUCCUCUAUCACUUGGAAUUUUAACAUGCUGUGCUUUUGUGGAGGAAAGAACUUUAUGCACUGACAUCAGGAUGCCACUCACAUCUUUAGAUCUCAAAAAUAAAAAACUAGGGGUCAGUUCAUGAAAGCAAUUCCAGCUCUGCUGAGGGAUCAAAAAUCAGCUUUUGUCCCAUUAUUGACCAAUCUUUGUGUUGACAUCAUUCUCAGUUUAAAAGUUUAAAUUGCUUCAAACUCUUGGUAUAAGUUUCCCAGAAGAUAAAAAUAAAGACUGCCAUAUGUGUUAUAUAAGA